UACGUAGGCAGCAAGCGUUGUUCGGAGUUACUGGGCGUAAAGGGUGUGUAGGCGGUUGUUUAAGUUUGGUGUGAAAUCUCCCGGCUCAACCGGGAGGGUGCGCCGAAUACUGAAUGACUUGGAGUGCGGGAGAGGAAAGUGGAAUUCCUGGUGUAGCGGUGAAAUGCGUAGAUAUCAGGAGGAACACCGGUGGUGUAGACGGCUUUCUGGACCGUAACUGACGCUGAGACACGAAAGCGUGGGGAGCAAACAGG
rnacentral:rRNA from 1 species